rnacentral:lncRNA from 1 species
CUCCAUAGAUUUCCACAAGGUGCAAGGCGAGUGUAAUUUACGGAAAGACAAGCUUCCCAAAUCCUGAAUUCUUCUCAAAUUCCCGAAGUGUGGCUUUAAAGCGAGAACACAGUCCACGUUACUUGAUUGCAUUAUCCCCGAGUAGCCACAAGAGGGCGUGUGAGGAACACAAUCGUCUGGAACUGGCCUUCCAGAAACCACUUCCUUAAUGACACAGCAGCAGUAUCUGCAGUUUCCUGUAUUCAGAGCAGGUGGAACAGAUCCUUUGAACGAUCGCUUGCACAUCUUUCUAACAUGCUGCCUACACGGAAGAGGGAGAAAGGGCAGAAUAAUAACAGAUCAGUUUUGGGAUGUUUAACAAAAUUCUUUUGUUACUUGACAGACUCGUUUAUCCUUCCUUGUGCCAUAACAGAAUAUUUAUCACACAGAUAUUUAAAUGGAAUCAGGGCUGUACAUAACCAUGACACGAUACUUUGUCAAAAAUAGAAAAAAGUUAAUCAGAUUGGAGACAUUUUUGCUUAAGAUAUGAGGAAGAUGAUGACGAUAAUGCAGAACUGGAUUAGACAACAUCAGCAGAGACUCAAUCCUCUCUCUGGAGAACACCUGAGAAAUGGUUGAAGCUUGCUCUGAUCUUGCCUGGAAUCAUGCAUAACAUUUGUUGUGCUUGCAUGUGGAUUCAUUAUAGAGGUUUUUCAAUUUAGGUAGGGAAUAUUGAAUAAAAAUGUUUGACAGUCAUUGUAGUGACUCUUC